rnacentral:misc_RNA from 1 species
AAGAUACUCAAAACUCGAAGACUCUUCGUAAAGGUCGUAGAGUUCUUGGCAAUCCUUGAAGCCUUAAGAGACUGGAUGUCAACUAGGAGCAUCAUGAGCCUCCUCGAGGUACAGACCAUCAUCGCACUAAUAGAGUAAAGAAACUAGCCCAAAAUGCUACAAGCACAACAACAAAUCAGACUCCUCAAUAGAGCUUCAGGAAACUACACAACCAUUUCG